rnacentral:tRNA from 1 species
UGCGUAGCUCAGGGGACAGAGCACGUGCCUUCUAAGCAUGUGGUCGGAGGUUCGAAUCCUCCCGUG